rnacentral:lncRNA from 1 species
GAAGGGGCAGUGCAGGUAAUUUUUUAUGGUGUAAGUAAAUUUAAGUGCCUUUUGUGGUCAAGCCUAUUGUUUAAUGGAGUUGCUUCAGUGUAAGGUAAUUAUAAACACCAAAUCACACAAAAGGCUAUAAUGUGAGAUAAAGUGCUACUUAGAAGUGGACUGAAAGCUGACAGUUACAGCUUAUCUGGAUGGGAUACAGGAAGUCUUUUAGAUGGUUGCUGUUUUGCAAACUGACAUCUGCCUUAAGCUAUAUUUUCAAGUUCUUAGAAAUACCUGGCCAGUGACAAGUGUGAAUUACGUACUUAUACCAUCACCACUCCCUUUUGACAAGGAAGCAAAGUUGGAAAAGCUUUAUUAAGGAAAGUUGAUGCACUUUAAGAAAAAAGCACUUGUCCCUGUUCUAAAAAGAACAAUAAAUGCUAUCACAUAAUCAUUUAUUCUUGCAGAACAGUGGCUGGAGUUACAAACUGUAAGCCUUGGGUGUGUUAACAGCCCUGCACUGUAUUUCCUCAUCUCAUACUCAUGAAAAAGCUGUCCAUGACCAUCUUUUCUCAGCAGACAGGUGAGGCCUUGCAGCAGGGGCAGCAGACUGCAGGAUAGGAGGAUGGGUUACCAGUUCUUGAGCUCCAGAGGUCGCGUUGCUUUCUGCUACUUCUUCCUGCUGCGGAUCUAUGCUGGGUAGAUGUACUUUAAUAAGCACAGCACCUAUGACUUUCCAUCAGUUUCUGCAGGAUGAAACCCUUCAGUUUCCAGCUUCUCUUUGUAUUUUAAAAAAUCCCUUCUUUUGUCAAAGUAUUUAACCCACUGCUGCGGACACAGGGACUCGAAGGACCGCCUCAGCUUCUCGCACCGCGGCGCGUCCUCCGUGUGCGUGUCCAGGCACCGCCAGAACUCGUCGCGUGCCGCCCAGCACGCCUUCCUUUCCUCCAUCGUCGGGGCCGACAUGAUCGCUGCCGCGAUACGGCGGAACCCCGCUCAGCCUCCCGGCCCGGCCCAAACCGGCGGCGAAGGUCAGGAGCUCGGAAGCGGAGCGGCGCGCAUGCGCCGGGUGAGGCGGGGAGGCGGGGCGGCGGGAAGCGCCUGUGGGGGUGGGACGUUAAACAGAAGAUGGGCGUUAAGUGCUUGCCGCUACUGAGGGCUUUGAAUUACGUUUCCAUCUAGCAGUGGCAUGGUGAGGAAACGGGUGGCUGUCUUCCACCACAACACCUGUUGCUGUUAAUUGGGAUGCAGCACUGUGUGCGCUUUACCUUCCAGUUAACACAGAUCUCUCCUCACCUGCAGUCAUUUAUGCCCUAUUUAGUUGAUAGUUACUGGGCAGAUUCUGGCCUGGAGGCCAUAAUGGUUUCUCUGUUCAUUUUGAGCGGUCAACAAGUUCCAUGUCUCUGUAGAGCCACUAACAAAAGCACUCCUCCACCUACCACGGCUGUGUUCUGCUCUGUGCUUAUACCAAGAGCUCAGUUAGUUACUUUGUUUUCCUUGCAUGGAAAGGCUCAGGUAUGGCCUCCCUUAGUUUAUGUUCUUUAUCCAUCAUAACAAUUCAGUGAAUUUAAUGUGAAGUAAGUAGUGUUCUCGAUGUAACAUAGCC